rnacentral:rRNA from 1 species
UGGGGAAUAUUGCACAAUGGGCGCAAGCCUGAUGCAGCCAUGCCGCGUGUGUGAAGAAGGCCUUCGGGUUGUAACGCACUUUCAGCGGGGAGGAAGGGAGUAAAGUUAAUACCUUUGCUCAUUGACGUUACCCGCAGAAGAAGCACCGGCUAACUCCGUGCCAGCAGCCGCGGUAAUACGGAGGGUGCAAGCGUUAAUCGGAAUUACUGGGCGUAAAGCGCACGCAGGCGGUCUGUCAAGUCGGAUGUGAAAUCCCCGGGCUCAACCUGGGAACUGCAAUCGAAAAUGGCAGGCUAGAGUCUUGUAGAGGGGGGUAGAAUUCCAGGUGUAGCGGUGAAAUGCGUAGAGAUCUGGAGGAAUACAGGGGGCGAAGGCGGCCCCCUGGGCGAAGACUGACGCUCAGGUGCGAAAGCGUGGGGAGCAAACAGG